rfam:Aedes albopictus isolate Foshan contig2470, whole genome shotgun sequence.
GGAUCAGUAACUUAGUUGGUAAAGCACUCGUCUAGCGUGCAAGGGUCGUGAGUUCAAACCUUACCUGAGCCG